GAUGAAGAACGUAGCGAAAUGCGAUAAGUAAUGUGAAUUGCAGAAUUCAGUGAAUCAUCGAAUCUUUGAACGCACAUUGCGCCCGCCAGUAUUCUGGCGGGCAUGCCUGUUCGAGCGUCAUUACAACCCUCAGGCCCCCGGGCCUGGCGUUGGGGAUCGGCGGAGCCCCCCGUGGGCACACGCCGUCCCCCAAAUGCAGUGGCGGUCCCGCCGCGGCUUCCAUCGCGUAGUAGCUAACACCUCGCGACUGGAGAGCGGCGCGGCCACGCCGUAAAACACCCAACUCUUCUGAAGUUGACCUCGAAUCAGGUAGGAAUACCCGCUGAACUUAAGCAUAUCAAUAAGCGGAGGA
rnacentral:misc_RNA from 1 species